GUUCCCGGCGUACUUCCCGGGGGCACGCCGUAGUUG
rnacentral:sRNA from 1 species